UUAUGUUUAUUUCCAUUUAACCUUUGUACAUAGGAAAUGAGACUUAAUUUUUCUUUUUACUGCUAAUUUCUGAGCAGUUUUUUUUCACGCAUAUAUAACUAUCAAAUUCCUUUUAUUAAGAUUAAUCCGAAAUAUAAAUAUAUAUAUAUAUAUAUAUAUAUAUAUAUAUUCCGUUUUUUUUUCAUUUUUUUUAUCUAGAAGAAACGGAAUAAACCUUUCUGUUUCAACGAAUCGCACGUAGAGAUAUUGAUAAAACACAUAGAGUUAAUGGUAUUUCAU
rnacentral:lncRNA from 1 species